CUUUUUUUUACUUAAUUUGUAUUUGGUAAUAAUAAAGUUAUAUCCUUAAAAGUUAUAUCCUUAAAAGAGUAAAAAUACUCAGGGAAGAUUUUCAGUCUAAUAAAGAGACGAUACAAUAAAGUUUAGAAGAAGUAAAUUGUGAUUACAAGUCAAUUCUUUGUAUAUAUCAGCGUAAUUAAGCUUAAGUCCGUUAUAGAUGGCUUCGUACGUUCGAGUGGGCAACUUUAUUUUGAAGGAUGGUUGAUGGAUCACGAAUCUAGAAGAUGGGUAGACGCCGCCAGAGAAGAGGCACUGAUCAGGUAUGGAGAUAUGACGGUAGAAAGACCCGCAGGCUGGUCGUACAAUCGUAGAAGAGAACGGGAUUGGGGAUCUCGAAGAAGAAUGUCAUGCUGGUAGGGGGAGAUCAUAUUUUACGGAGGUGUCCCACGAUUAGCACAAACAAUAACAUGUUAACAGUACAGGAGGAAGAACCGAUGCGAGGACAAGGUAGCAGUUUAUGAGUGGUAGAAUCAAGUCGAAGUGCAAAGGUGUUAAAGUUAUGAAAAAAAAGAGUUUUUUUUUAUUGUAUUAUUUGAAUAUUAAAAUGAGAGAUGAAUAUAAAAGUUAUCCUUAACGAACUUGAUUGUACGGAGAAUAUGAUUGUCUAUUUUAAAUUUUGCAUAUAAAAUGGUUUUUGAAUAUUAA